rnacentral:lncRNA from 1 species
CUGAUUUUUCUCAGCUUCUCAACUGCCCAGAAUUUGUUCCCCGCCAGCACUACCAGAAGGAGACAGAGUCAGCACCUGGCUCUCCCCGUGCAGUCACCCCAGUGCCAACCAAAACAGAAGAGGUCAGCAACCUGAAGACCCUUCCCAAGGGCCUGUCUGCCAGCCUCCCAGAUUUGGAUUCUGAGAGCUGGAUUGAAGUGAAGAAGAGGCCUCGGCCCUCACCAGCACGCCCCAAGGUAGAAGUCAGAGGAACCCAGGUUCUCCCAUCCAACUGCUCUGCCUCAGCAGAUUCCUUCCCAGCAGCUAAUGUCUAAGGAUCAGGAUGAGCAAGAAGAAUUAGACUUCCUGUUUGAUGAGGAGAUGGAGCAGAUGGAUGGGCGGAAGAAUACCUUCACUGCCUGGUCUGACGAGGACUCUGACUAUGAAAUCGACGACCGAGAUGUCAAUAAGAUUCUCAUCGUCACUCAAACACCACCUUAUAUGCGU